AGGCGCGAUGCUGGCGCCGAGCGACGCCGUGGCGUGUUCGUCCUCUGCGUGAUCGUUCUCUGGACCGCGCGUUCAGGCGCGUUGUUCAACAUUGCUCAUGUAAUCGUGCGUGCGUUGCUGGUGUGUUGGUUGUAGGUUCUGCGUUACUUGGCGGAAAGCCGUGAGUAGUGCCGGUGCGGCAAUGCGGCUUUGGCCUCGAUGAGCUCUGGCACUACAGAAUCUGCGUUGUGUGAUCCGUGCUUUCUUGAGAACCCGGCGGUGGUGACAAUUGAAAUGUCGAAGUGGCCUAGCGCCUCGGCAGCGAAGUUCUGCGAACCGCGAUGUGGCGUCGCCGUGUCCGACUUUGCUUAACGGACAUCGAGGGAUGUGCUGCUCGCUGCAAGUCAUGUAAAUGCAACUGCGUCGACCGCCCACUGUUCAGCGCUGAAUGUGUGUUUGGUGUGCUGUGCUUGAAACGAGUGGUGCAGCCGUGCAGCGGGGGUGACGGAGGAGCUGAGUGGCUUAGGGGCUCCGUUUGCGCGUUCACAGACAUGUCCCGUCUUGGUCUCAUUAGCGCCUGUCGCGGGACUGUCGUGUGCUAGCUCCUUGCCUAGUAUGAAGUUUACGACGCUAACACACAGCAUGUUCACGUUUUUCCGCGCUAUAUGUCAUUUGCAUGACGGCCGAGUUGAAAACGGGACAUAUAGUGUUCUUUGCGCUUGUGUGUUGUAAAUUACUUUCUGUUGUGGAAGUUCUGGGAGUCUUAUUACGCAAGAAGUGCGAACGUAAACAUAAACACAUAUGUGUGUCUGAAAUUUUGAAUUACCCAUAAUAGCCUUUACGACUGAUAAGUGAGCUACACGGCCUGUGUGAAUCAGCUACCGUAUGUUGCGACGCUCAACCGUGUGGUAGAAUGAUAUGCAUGGUGCGCGUUUAUUUAUGUACUGUUGUAAAAACCAUUUGUUUAUUCACUCAAUACAAAUGUACAGCUUCUUCGCCGCAGUACAUUUUAGUUACGCGGUGAAGCAUACUAAAAGUGGGAGGGGGCCACUAUUGUCAGACACGCAUCGUAGGGCGGUGAUAAAGGGAAUACCCCGUUUAUUCCGAUGAUGUGCAAUAUAUACAGAAGCACUAGUCACAUGACUUUUGUUAUAAGUGCGGGAUGACAGCCAAAGAAGUGUGCUCGUGUUUUAUCUGCAGGCUGACGUCACAACUAUCAGCCAGCAUAGUAUGUCCGCUUAGGCGACCUGAGAGGCGGCGGGUGCGCGAGUGUAUAAUUUAAGAACUCUUAUUAUGUCCAGUGACAGUGGAGAUCAUUAACUGUAGCACCAAAGUAGUGGACCACUACCAGAACAAAGGCAAGUAGUAUGCCCAUCUCAAUUCUUGUGCUUAUGCCAGUCUUAUUUUUUACAGGAAUAGCUGCUAUGGGCUAACUCCCCUGGUUGUUCUGAUGUCUACUGGUGUUGUCACUGGAAUUCCCGAAUUUCUUGCUAGAAUAUUGCAAAUAAAGUUCUCAUUGUGCUGCGAGGAUUCAAACAUACGAUCUCCCUACUCUGCACCGCUUCUAAGGUUAUGGAACACUUUAUUUCUAAGCAUUUAAGUUCGUUUUUAGAAAAUAAUGUCUUCUUUAGCGAGAGUCAGCACGGAUUCAGGCGUGGCUUUUCAACCACUAUGCAGUUACUUCAUAUGACCAACGAAAUACUGGCAAUCUUGGAUCAAGGUGGGCAAGUAGACAUUCUUUUUUUAGAUUUCGAGAAAGCCUUCGAUCGGGUUUCACACAAGAAAAUGAUGAUACAGCUAAACAGCAUCAUACGCAGCGAACAAAUUUUGCGUUGGCUUGAUUCGUACUUGACGCAUCGAAAACAAUUUGUCAGCAUAGGUGCUUCGAAUUCGUCGCUCGCCUCUGUACUUUCGGGCAUUCCACAGGGCUCGGUUUUAGGGCGACUUCUUUUUCUUAUCUACCUAAAUGACCUGGCUUGCAAAUUUUCCGUGCGGUGCCGCUUUUUUGCGGACGAUUGUAUUGUUUAUUCGAGCAUUCAAUCUGUGGAUGACCAAUCUAGCUUAAUGUAUUAAACAGUUGCAAGCAUGAUAAUUCACCCAUAUUUCGUACUUGUUGGUUCCAAAUGUUCUUGCUGUUCAGUUUGGUUUACCGCAGGGCAUUUAUUUUCGCAGUAGUGAAGCGGUGCAUCACGUUCGUGCAGAAAAAUAAUGCAUCAGUUCUAAUAGCUUCAUGACUUUCAUGCAUUUGCUUGUGGAACCAGCAGUGUGAUCUCUUAUAGUGUAUAAAUGAACACACAAAUGUUCUCAUUUGUGAUCUUAAUAAUAAUUGAGCUGUUGACAUGCAUUGUAGUUAGGCAGACAUCAAUCUUAUGGACAAUAGUAAUAUUUAUUUAACAUGCUGCUUAAGCACCCUAGAACAGACAGUGUACAUUUGCAUGUGUUCUGUGGUCGCAAACCAUUACAAUAUAUAUGUCACACCUUUUUGCAUUUCAUAUUGCAAAAUUUUGCUUUUUUCAAUUUCUGAUUCAGUCAAAAUUUCUGUUUCAGACAUGCAGUAAUGAGGACGGCACCAGUAUAAAGCAACACACUCCAUGCACUAAACAGAAGCUGCUGCCUGCUACAACAAGGUCGUUGUGUGGACGUUGGCUACUACUACAAGAGUCUAUGCCAAGCACCUCUUGGUCAUCGCAGGAGCUCCUAUCUGCACCAACAGGAAGGGGCUGGAGCCGAAUUUGCAAGGCUUUUACACCACGAACAAAGAAGCGCAUGCAGAAGAAUAUGGAUGAGAUAUCAAGUCUGCAGAGGACUGUGUUAAGACUGAAAAGAGCUUCAGCCACCAUGACACCAGCACGGACAUUUGGCUGAGUCAUCCAGGUAACUCAAAAAGGACUUUCUAGAAUGUCUUCGUCUUCAGAUACACCUGCAGCAUCCUCCGACCAAGCACGGACGACGCUGGCCAAAAGAUCGAAUUCCGUCAGUUUGCCCUUAAUCAGCUUCCUAGCCAUGUCAAUUCCAUUUGUGCCAAGUGUAUUUUUUCUUCUAUAAAUGCAAGCUUUUUCAUUGCC